GUACAGCUUCCACAGGAGCAAGGGAUGUCUGAGCACAAGUGGCUGAGUUCCGAGUGACUUUAUGAAGCACUUUCUACCUUCCUCUCCGGCAUGAAAACAGGGAUUCUGCACCUGCAUCAUGGACAGUCUGGCAAAAGCCUCUGCUCUGCCUCCGGGGACAAGAAACUAGAGCAAAUAACCGUUUUGAAAUUAGAUCCUGGCAACAUUACCAACAAUCAAUGAUGGAAACCGAAGGCAGAUUGAUUUAAAUCUUCAAUGACAGUUGUACAGAAGUUGAAGAAACAUGUCAUGUUUCCAAAGAAAAGUGAGUAGCUUGGUUGGUGGUACCCUAAAAUUAGGGCAUCAUUAAGGUACGUCAUUUCUUUUAGUUCAAUCGAAGUGCUUUGCUGUUUCAAUUGUGGAGAAUUUCUUCUUCUUUUUUUCAAUCUCUCUCUCUUCCUCUUCUUCCUCUCAUUAGUAGAUGUCUUUUAUAAUUGAUGUCAUUUACUGUCCUUUCAUCAAAUGUAUGCCACAUCACUUAGGCGAACCAGCAGACAGGGCACCAAAAUACACAUUAGAGGAGACUGGCUUCCAUGAGACGCUUCAACUGUCUCAUCGGGGCACUUGUAAUAAGCAUCUUGGUGCCACUGAAUGCAAUGCUGUAUUCAAAUAAUAGCUUUCAUCUUCACUCUUUUUAAAUAUAAAAGUAAACCUUGAAGCCCUUUGAAGGACCUAACCAAACAACAUACCUAUGAAAAUAGAUCAGUAAGGCUUUGAGAAACAUUCUUAAGUAAAAUCUGUAAAGCAUCUUUGCAUUUUUUUUCAAGAAAGACCUCCAGGUAAAUGAUGGCUUUUAAUAAGACAUAUGACAAUCACAAUUACAAGAAUCAUUAAUGUGUGUCCUGUGUGCUAUUUUAUGUUCCCAGCAGGAUAUAUCUUUUCUCAUCUAGGGUUUCCAGGGCUGUCUACUGUUCUCUAUGUGUAAAACGUAUUUAAGUGUUCCCCCAAUGCUGCAAUAAUGUUGAAACAAAACAAAA
rnacentral:lncRNA from 1 species